AGUGGCGGACGGGUGAGUAACGCGUGAGAAUCUGCCUUGGGGUCGGGGACAACCACUGGAAACGGUGGCUAAUACCGGAUAAGCCGAUUGGUGAAAGAUUUAUUGCCCGAAGAGGAGCUCGCGUCUGAUUAGCUAGUUGGUGAGGUAAGAGCUCACCAAGGCAGCGAUCAGUAGCUGGUCUGAGAGGACGAUCAGCCACACUGGGACUGAGACACGGCCCAGACUCCUACGGGAGGCAGCAGUGGGGAAUUUUCCGCAAUGGGCGAAAGCCUGACGGAGCAAGACCGCGUGAGGGAGGAAGGCUCUUGGGUUGUAAACCUCUUUUCUCAGGGAAGAAUCUCUGACGGUACCUGAGGAAUCAGCCUCGGCUAACUCCGUGCCAGCAGCCGCGGUAAUACGGAGGAGGCAAGCGUUAUCCGGAAUUAUUGGGCGUAAAGCGUCCGCAGGUGGCGAUUCAAGUCUGCUGUCAAAGCACGGGGCUUAACUCCGUAAAGGCAGUGGAAACUGAAUAGCUAGAGUGCCGUAGGGGUAGAGGGAAUUCCCGGUGUAGCGGUGAAAUGCGUAGAGAUCGGGAAGAACAUCGGUGGCGAAAGCGCUCUACUGGACGGCAACUGACACUCAGGGACGAAAGCUAGGGGAGCGAAUGGGAUUAGAUACCCC
rnacentral:rRNA from 1 species